GAGGAAAGUCCGGGCUCCACAGGGCAGGGUGCCAGAUAACGUCUGGGGGGCGCAAGCCCACGGCAAGUGCAACAGAAAGUAUACCGCCGGCUGUGGCCGGUAAGGGUGAAAUGGUGCGGUAAGAGCGCACCGCGCUGCUGGUAACGGUGGCGGCAGGGUAAACCCCACCCGGAGCAAGACCAAAUAGGAAAACUAUGGCGCGGCCCGCGCCGUUUUCGGGUUGGUCGCUUGAGGCUGGAAGGCGACUUUCGGUCCAGAUGAAUGAUUAUCCUCGACAGAACCCGGCUUAC
rnacentral:RNase_P_RNA from 1 species